UUUGUAAAUAUUAUAAAUAAUAAAAGGUAAAAUUUAAUUGUUAUUUUAUAUUAUAUUAAUGAUUGUAAUUGAAGCUAAAAAAUCUAAUUAUAGACUAGGAUUAGAUACCCUAUUAUUUUAGGAAAAAAUAUAAAGCUAGAUUAGUAUUAGUUAAAUACUUAAAAAUUAAAAGAUUUGGCGGUGAUUUAAUCUUUUCAGAGGAAUUUGUUUUUUAAUCGAUAAACCACGAAGAAUCUUACUUGUUUUUGUUAAUAAUCAGUUUGUAUACCAUCAUUAUCAGAUAAUUCUAAAAAGAAAAAUUAUCAAAUUUAAAUGUUUAUUAAAAUUAGAUCAUGGUGCAGCUUAUAAACAAGGUAAAAUGAAUUACAAUAAAUUGUUUUAUGAUGAAUUAAUAAGAUAAUUCUUAUUAUGAAGGAGGAUUUGAUGGUAUUAUAAAUUUAAUAAGUUUAUAAGAUAAGGGCUCUAAAUCAUGUACAUAUCGCCCGUCGCUUUCAUUUAUAAAUGAGAUAAGUC
rnacentral:rRNA from 1 species